GCUGAAUUGUCCUUCUGGGCUUGCCGUUGAAGGACAUACGUCAUAGGUCAAAGUUGAAACGGCUGAAAACAGAAACAACAUGGAGACCGAGAACAGAAGCAGCGGAGGCUCCAGUAAAACCUCUAAAAAAGGUGCGAAACGCGAUGAAGAAGAAGCAAGAAGGAGAGCGGUCGUGAGGGAGACGUUAUGGGAGAGGUUUGAUCUGGAGAAGAGAGCCUUGAAGGUCGUGGAGCGUCUCCUGGAGGACUGUGUGGCUGGAGACUUCCUGGUGGACUGUGCAAGGUACAUCGCUCCUGCUAAUUACAGAGAUACUAUCGAGGAGAGAUCCAUUGGUAAACUGUGUGGUUAUCCUUUAUGUUCAAAUAAACUUGGAAAGAUCCCAACUCAAACGUAUACAAUUUCUACUAAGACCAACAAGGUGUAUGACAUCACAGAGCGCAAGAGUUUUUGUAGUAACUUCUGCUACAAAGCCUCCAAACACUUUGAGCUCCAAAUCUCAAAUUCACCUCUUUGGCUGAGGCCGCAUGAGAGUCCUCCAGAAAUUAUAUUGAUGAGGAAAGGUGACGGGGGUCGUUCUGGUCAGGCGGUGAUGCUGUUGGAGAGGGGUCUCCAAGAGGAGGAUGUCGAGAACCCUCUUGCUGCUCAACCCCUGGACCCUCAGCAGGGUUCUGCUGAGGCCGGCCUCGACCACAGUGAAAGCGGUGACGUUGAACAAGAGCAGGACUUUGUCUCCAGCGUGGUUUCCCAGCGGCAGGGACCGAGGGUGCAAUGGGGCGACCUGCCUAAAUAUACAGACAAGGAAAAGGGUCAUGGGAAGAAGGAGAAGGAAAAGAAACAGAGGGGGGGUGGCGAUGAAAAGGAGCUUGAGGUUCAUCGAAGUCAGGGCGCAGACGGGGAGCGAAAAAUUAGAGAAGAUGAAAAGAGACGAGUGUCAUUUUCUUGUAAAACAGAAGUUGGAACUGAAGGUAAAAAACAUCUGCACUCCUCAAACACAGAGAAACUUAAUGGAGAGCAGCUGCCAGAGGAGAGAGCUGACGAACCCAGUGUGGAAGAGGCUAUCGCUCGGCUGAAACUAACAAAUUUAUCCGAGACGGUCACUCACACGGCUCCGCCGCCUGUUGACUUAACAGCCAAACAAACGGAAAACACAAAUCUACUCACUUCUCCAGCCAAAGACACAGACAGCUUAACAGAAAGCAUCCAUCUCCCAUCUUCAACUCUGAUCAACACGAAUCAGGACGGUCACGUCACGGCAUUGACCAGCCAGCCAGGCCUGAACAUCACCCAGGUAGGUAUGAGCAGGAGGGGGGCAGCAGGGCUACGACAAGUACUCGAGAACCACACGGCUGCAGUCGAACCCAACUCCGCCCGGCUGAAUCUCAUCGAGUGCCUGAGGAGAUCGUUAAAGGACUGGAGCACCGCCGAGACCCGGAAGUUCCUGUACGGUGCCGACCAUUCGCCCUGCUCGCCUUUUGUUGACGUUAAAGAAGAAAAAGAUUUGGGGGGAGAAGAGGAGGAACUCGAUGAAGACGACCUUGAAGAUGAGGGGACCAAUGAGGAGGCAGAGGGGGUUGGUGCUGGGGUGCAGAAGAGACCGUCUGCUGCAGCUCCAGACUACCACGUGCUGCAGCAAGAGACCCAGCAGCUGGAGCUCCGAGUCAGAGAGUUUUAUAAGGGAACCUGGAUUCUACCGGAAGAGGUGGAGGAGCCGCAUGGAAGCAAGAUGGCAACGGAGCCAGUGAUGCCGCUUGUUGACUCUCGUGCUCAGCACCUCAUCCAGAAACGAAUCGCCGUGGAGAAGCUCACCAGCUGUCUCAGAAACAUUGUCGGCCCUCUGCGUCUCUCCAUAAACGACUUCUCCUCUGACCUGAACAACCUUGUCAGGACAUUCAGGAGCUAUUAAAUCACUGUGCAGUGAGGAACACCGCCACAGUCCUGCUUCCAGGAAUUCUCUUUCUGCUGCCAGAGGCCCCGCAGACGAGAGGCCGAAACCAAAGAAUCUACACGGCGCUGUCACAGAACCAUACAUCACGACACCAUUGCCGGCAGCGUUUGUGUUGGUCGGUCCGGCCUCGUGCACAUUUUGUUUCUCUCGUUUACUUAUCAUCAGAAUCUUGGGCUUUUUGUCACCUGCCGUUUGAGAAGGUUUGCGCCUCCCUAGAGUUAUGUGUAUGUUCACAUACGGUCUGUGUCUAGGUUGAUAUGCAAUACACAGACAAAUGCCCUGACGUGACAUCAUCGUUCAGUUCUGAUCGACCUGUUUGUUUUCUGAACACCACAGGUUCACCAACACAAACAUCGUUCACAGAACUCCAGAGUGGACCCUCCUAACCGUCAUGCUUCUCCAUCUCUUGUCUGAGGUGUCUCCGGUGGUACGAGA